UAAGCAGAAUGUGAAAUCGUAUGGCUCAACCAUAUAUCCAUGUUCUGAACUGCUCAGCUAGAGAAUGGAAGAGGUCGCUAGAAUUCCUGGUGUAGGGGUGAAAUCCGUAGAUAUCAGGAGGAAUACCGAUGGCGUAGGCAGGCGACUGGUCCAUUUCUGACGCUCAGGCACGAAAGCGUGGGAGCGAUCGGGAUUAGAUACCCCGGUAGUCCACGCCGUAAACGAUGGAUGCUA
rnacentral:rRNA from 1 species